ACAUAGAGCUUGAUGUAGGACUCGAUCCCACAACCCUGGGAUCAUGACCUGAGCUGAAAUCAAGAGUCAGAUGCUCAACUGACUGAGCCACACAGGUGCCCCCCUUUUUUUUAUUUUAGAGAGAUCAUUAUUUUUUAAAGACUAUUUUUAGAGCAGUUUUAGGUUUACAACAAUAUUGACAGGAAGGUAUAGAUAUGCCCUAAGAACCACCCCCCCAUCCCUACACAUGCACAACCUCUCCCUCACCGUCAACAUCACUCACCAGAAUGGAACAUUCUUUACUGACCGAGAACCCCCACUGUGACAUCAUAAUCACCCAAAGUCUAUUGUCUACCUUAGGGCUCACUCUUGGUGUUAUACAUUUUGAAGACCUGGACAAACAUAUAAGGACAUGUAUCCACCAUUAUAAUGUCAUAGAAGCUUGAUAGCCCAUUUCUUUUUACUGGUAAAUAAUAUUCCGUUGUGUGGAUGGACCCCAGUUGAUUCCUCUCUUCACCUACUGAUGGACAUCUUGGUUCCUCCCAAGUUUGGGCCAUUGUGAAUACAGCUGCUAAAAACGUUGGUGUGCUGGUUUUUGUGUGGACCUGAGUUUUCGGCUCCUGGGGAGCUGCUGCAACUCCACGUGCUUUCCCCAACAUACUUCGCCACCUUGUCUCCCUCGUCUUUCCCUUCUGAAGGAAGGAGCUCCUGAAACGGACUGUUUUGUCAAGAUGGGCUGCCCCACUAGAAUGCUGUCUUCCUGAACGGCUUUGUUGAUGGAAAUAGACCCCAAACCAGGAACAAAAUCCUCGCAGGCGAGCACAGCUGGAAAGCUGCCGUGAGGUCAGCUUGGGAAACCCAUGCUCCGAAAGCCAACAUGGAAGGUGGUGGCCACCGUGUUAAUUAAGGGAUGGCUUAGUGAAGACAAGGUCACGUCCAUUCACACUCCACCUGCUCCAGAUGUACUUCCUACCCCCCGCCGCCCUUGGCUGGGUAGGGGAGGCCCACGUCGGGAAUUGGAAGAUGAGGGCCCCAGAGUUCAUUAAUCCAGGGACGAACCAAGCAGGAGCCGGGUGGUCAGGCGGGGUUUCAGACCCAGGAAAGAUCCGGUACUGACCAACGAUGAUCAGAGCAGGAGCUGCAGAGAUCAGGGUCCUGAAGGAGAAGGGGACAGCAGGGGAGGGAGAGUAGGAUAGGGACGCCAGCGAGAGCCACAGUACCCUCGGUGAACAGCCCCAGGAGGAGGUCCAGAGCCUGCUGCUGAAGAGCAGGAUGCCUGGUGAGGACGGGACUGGCAUGUCAGACACACUGAGCGAUCAAGGGUAUCCAGUGGGGGGUUGGCAAUCAGGUUCAGUUCAUCUGGAUCAUCUCAGCACCAUACGCUAGAUCGCAGGUGAUCUUCCCCAGUGGCCUGACACGGACUAUCUCGCACGUUUUUUGGCGAGGUCAUGUUUUUAACCAAGAUGGGUGCGAACCAGAUGGGUGGCCCCCAGGCCUUCACUAAACGCAAGCCCGCUGAGCCCUUGCAUUUCCAGUUACCCCACAAGACGCGUGUGGCCCCGAGCACAAUGAUGCCGCAAAUUCAGCUUCUACGAGAAUCCAUUCGGGGGCAGAAACAUUACACGGUGAUCGGCCACCUACAGCGGAAUGAAAUCACUAAAACGAAAUAUAUGAUGUCCCUUUUAACCUCUGAUUAAUCUCCCCUUCUAAAGCUCAGCCUUGAAUGCAAGUUUUCUGGUAAUCUGCUCUUUUCUAGCAAUCUCUGCCGGCCAGAUAUAUCCCAGCGGGUUAAACGCUAGCAGGCUCUCAUCCACAACCAAAGACAGGGGGACGUUGUAUCCUGCCACGAGCGUACAGAAGGUUGAACUCAACUUCAUAUUUACAGAUGAACGAGAAAUAACCACAGGGGCUAUCGCUCAAGAGAGUUUAAUCCUCCGAACCUGGGUUCGCUGAAUGAAACCACCACGAUGUCGCUGAGACGCAGCUGAGUAUAGGCGGUUCCUACCGUUGCCAGAAGUUUCUGGGGCGAUGUGGCGCCACCUGAGGGGCCCCCAGGCCUUCCAUUUCAAAACGAGGAGUCUCGAGCCUCAACGGAUGGCUCCAGUUUGCCAUAGCUAGAAUGUCCCAACACGGAUUCCAGUCCCUCCGAUUCCCAAGUCCAAAUCUCUCCCGGACACCCCCCCCCCCCCGGGCUGCCCCUCGUGCUGAGCUCAGGAAUACUGCCUCAGUGACACGUCUGGGACCAUGUCUGGGGCCGGGUGAGGACCAGACACGGGCCACGGUCUGGGGGAAGGGGAAGCCCCAGGAGAUUGGCUGCCAUCGCCGAGCUGGCUCCGUGCCCGCCGUCCAUCCAGCCUGCAGACGACAUCAGUAGGCAUCCCUGCUCCCCUUUUGUUACAUAGGAGACCACGGCUUGAAAAAACAAGCUAGCAUUUUCCGGGAAAGGUACAGCUGUGAUUAGGACGCAGUCAAACCUAACACCAAAGUCCUGGGCCAGUUCCCUCCUGGACCUGUUUUUUAAUGUUUACAUGCGCUUAAUGGUUUAUGGCACUUCGAUAAAUACCAAAUGCAGAAAAUCAGGGUUGUUGUUUUUUUGUUUUAAUUUAUGAAGUUGAGGUAUUUUCCACACUUACACCAGAGAGUGUUGGUGACUAUAAAUGAACCAUCGCUCAAGUAGCUUAAUCCGAAUGGGGAAUUAAAACGGCUGGUAAUGUAGAGAUUGCUUUCUUGAGACAGGAUCGCGUUCCUGACAGACAGCACACGCUCCAGUUUCCAGGCUGGUAAAUCCAAUCGUUUCACUGUCGAAUAUUCUAGCUCUCCCAUAAUAAAUGCUCAUUCUGUUUCCAUACGCUGGACAGAUGACUGGCAAAUUUACCCAUUUUAGAAAUCUUAGAUUAAUCCACAUUAAUUUAAUUUGUUGCAUGUAACCCCUGAAAUUCUGUGACAAAUGCAGCCCAGUGUCACGGACAUAAAAGUCGAAGCUCAAUGAGAUUGGACAACUGGACAGAGGUCACACAGCCAGGAUGGGACAAAGCCAGGACCCCAGCCCUGCUGCGUCCAGCUCGUGCAACCAGGUUGGCUCUAUAAAGAGAUUUUUAAAAGCAGUCUGAGGCCCCCAUUUUCCUUUCAUCUUUUCUGCCCCCGUCCUCUGUAUCUGACUAUUAAUUUGCAGUAUUCUACAGUCACAAAUAAACUGUUUUAUGCUGAA